CCCGACAGCUGGCGGCGUGCCUAAUACAUGCAAGUCGAGCGCGGGAAGCAGGCAGAACUCCUUCGGGAGUGAUGCCUGUGGAACGAGCGGCGGACGGGUGAGUAACACGUGGGCAACCUGCCUGUAAGACUGGGAUAACCCCGGGAAACCGGGGCUAAUACCGGAUAACACUUUUUGGUACAUGCCAAGAAGUUGAAAGGCGGCCUUUUUGGCUGUCACUUACAGAUGGGCCCGCGGCGCAUUAGCUAGUUGGUAGGGUAACGGCCUACCAAGGCAACGAUGCGUAGCCGACCUGAGAGGGUGAUCGGCCACACUGGGACUGAGACACGGCCCAGACUCCUACGGGAGGCAGCAGUAGGGAAUCUUCCGCAAUGGACGAAAGUCUGACGGAGCAACGCCGCGUGAGUGAUGAAGGUUUUCGGAUCGUAAAACUCUGUUGUUAGGGAAGAACAAGUGCCGUUCAAAUAGGGCGGCACCUUGACGGUACCUAACCAGAAAGCCCCGGCUAACUACGUGCCAGCAGCCGGGCCAAUUAU
rnacentral:rRNA from 1 species